AGCAGUCGCCGCGGUAAUACGUAGGGUGCGAGCGUUAUUCGGAAUUACUGGGCGUAAAGCGUGCGCAGGCGGUUAUAUAAGACAGAUGUGAAAUCCCCGGGCUCAACCUGGGACCUGCAUUUGUGACUGUAUAGCUAGAGUACGGUAGAGGGGGAUGGAAUUCCGCGUGUAGCAGUGAAAUGCGUAGAUAUGCGGAGGAACACCGAUGGCGAAGGCAAUCCCCUGGACCUGUACUGACGCUCAUGCACGAAAGCGUGGGGAGCAAACAGGAUUAGAUACCCCUGUAGUCCCUGUCUCUUAUAC
rnacentral:rRNA from 1 species